rnacentral:rRNA from 1 species
UACGAAGGGGGCUAGCGUUGCUCGGAAUCACUGGGCGUAAAGGGUGUGUAGGCGGGGCUUUAAGUCAGGGGUGAAAUCCUGGAGCUCAACUCCAGAACUGCCUUUGAUACUGAGGAUCUUGAGUUCGGGAGAGGUGAGUGGAACUGCGAGUGUAGAGGUGAAAUUCGUAGAUAUUCGCAAGAACACCAGUGGCGAAGGCGGCUCACUGGCCCGUUACUGACGCUGAGGCACGAAAGCGUGGGGAGCAAACAGG